rnacentral:rRNA from 1 species
GCAUGUGGUUUAAUUCGAAGCAACGCGAAGAACCUUACCAGGUCUUGACAUCCCUGACAACCCGAGAGAUCGGGCGUUCCCCUUCGGGGGACAGGGUGACAGGUGGUGCAUGGUUGUCGUCAGCUCGUGUCGUGAGAUGUUGGGUUAAGUCCCGCAACGAGCGCAACCCUCGACCUUAGUUGCCAGCAUUCAGUUGGGCACUCUAAGGUGACUGCCGGCUAAAAGUCGGAGGAAGUGGGGAUGACGUCAAAUCAUCAUGCCCCUUAUGACCUGGGCUACACACGUGCUACAAUGGGCGGUACAAAGGGUCGCGAACCCGCGAGGGGGAGCCAAUCCCAAAAAGCCGCUCUCAGUUCGGAUUGCAGGCUGCAACUCGCCUGCAUGAAGCCGGAAUCGCUAGUAAUCGCGGAUCAGCAUGCCGCGGUGAAUACGUUCCCGGGCCUU